CCUCUGGUGAAUCUGUUAUGCCGCCAGGUGUACUGCAGAGUAGCUACGUUGGGAAUAGAUAAGCGCUGAAAGCAUCUAAGUGCGAAACUAGCCACGAGAUGAGACUUCCUUAUAGGAUCGUAGCAGACUACUACGUUGAUAGGUUACAGAUAUAAAGGUGGUGACAUCAAAGUCGAGUAAUACUAAUUAUCCGAAGCUUUCUCUAA
rnacentral:rRNA from 1 species